GCGCCCAUAGCUCAUUUGGCAGAGCGGUGGGACGGUACCCCACACGGUCCCGGGUUCAAGUCCCGGCGGUCGCU